UUUUUAAUUGGGAUCUGGUAUGAAUGAUUGGACAAGAGAAAUACUGUCUUUGUAUUAGAACUUGAAUUUAACUUUUAAGUGAAAAGGCUUAAAUAUUCUAAGGGGACGAUAAGACCCUAUAAAACUUUACAUUUGUGUUAAAUUUAAUGAAAUUUUGAGGGUUUAUAAUUAUUAAAUUUAAUUUUUUGUUAUGUUGGGGAGACAAGAGCUAUAAUUGUGUGUAACUGCUUUUUAAAAAAACAAUAAAUAAGUGGAGAGAUUAGAGAUCCUUUAUUGAGAUUAUAAGAUUAAGUUACUUUAGGGAUAACAGCGUUAUUUUUUUUGAGAGUUCAUAUCGAAAAAAAAGAUUGCGACCUCGAUGUUGAAUUAAAAUAUCUUUAUAAUGUAGGUGUUAUAAAAGAAGGUCUGUUCGACCUUUAAUUUUUU
rnacentral:rRNA from 1 species